GACGAACGCUGGCGGCGCGCUUAACACAUGCAAGUCGAACGGAAAGGCCUGCUUUCCCUUGUGGAUUGCGGGUACUCGAGUGGCGAACGGGUGAGUAACACGUGAGUGAUCUGCCCCCAACUUGGGUAUAAGCCUGGGAAACUGGGUCUAAUUCCCGAUAGGACUGCAGGGUGGUGCCUGUGGUGGAAAACGAUUUUCUAGUGGUUGGGGAUGAGCUCGCGGCCUAUCAGCUUGUUGGUGGGGUAAUGGCCUACCAAGGCGGCGACGGGUAGCCGGCCUGAGAGGGUGGACGGCCACAUUGGGACUGAGAUACGGCCCAGACUCCUACGGGAGGCAGCAGUGGGGAGUAUUGCACAAUGGGCGGAAGCCUGAUGCAGCGACGCCGCGUGGGGGAUGACGGCCUUCGGGUUGUAAACUCCUUUCGACCGCGAGGAAGCCACCUGGUUGGAAGGGUGGUGACGGUAGUGGUAGAAGAAGCACCGGCUAACUACGUG
rnacentral:rRNA from 1 species